rnacentral:tRNA from 1 species
UAUAAAGUGCCUGACAAAAAGGCUUAUUUUGAUAGAAUAAAUAAUGUAUUUAAUAUACCUUUAUAA